rnacentral:rRNA from 1 species
AGAGUUUGAUCAUGGCUCGAGGACAACGGCUGGCGGCGUGCUUAACACAUGCAAGUCGAACGGUGACCCAGGGCUUGCCCUGGUGAUCAGUGGCGAACGGGUGAGUAACACGUGGGCAACCUGCCCCUGACUUCGGGAUAACUCCUCGAAAGAGGAGCUAAUACCGGAUACGACCACUUCGGACAUCCGAUGGUGGUGGAAAGUUUUUCGGUCAGGGAUGGGCCCGCGGCCUAUCAGCUAGUUGGUGGGGUAAUGGCCUACCAAGGCGACGACGGGUAGCCGGCCUGAGAGGGCGACCGGCCACACUGGGACUGAGACACGGCCCAGACUCCUACGGGAGGCAGCAGUGGGGAAUAUUGCGCAAUGGGCGAAAGCCUGACGCAGCGACGCCGCGUGAGGGAUGAAGGCCUUCGGGUUGUAAACCUCUUUCAGCAGGGACGAAGCGAAAGUGACGGUACCUGCAGAAGAAGCACCGGCUAACUACGUG